AUUGAACGCUGGCGGCAUGCUUUACACAUGCAAGUCGAACGGUAACAGGCCGCAAGGUGCUGACGAGUGGCGAACGGGGGAGUAAUGCAUCGGAACGUGCCCAGACGUGGGGGACAACGCAGCGAAAGCUGCGCUAAUACCGCCUACGAUCUAUGGAUGAAAGCGGGGGACAGUAAGGCCUCGCGCGAGUGGAGCGGCCGAUGUCAGAUUAGGUAGUUGGUGGGGUAAAGGCUCACCAAGCCGACGAUCUGUAGCUGGUCUGAGAGGACGACCAGCAACACUGGGACUGAGACACGGCCCAGACUCCUACGGGAGGCAGCAGUGGGGAAUUUUGGACAAUGGGCGCAAGCCUGAUCCAGCAAUGCCGCGUGCAGGAAGAAGGCCUUCGGGUUGUAAACUGCUUUUGUACGGAACGAAACGGUCCUGGUUAAUACCUGGGGCUAAUGACGGUACCGUAAGAAUAAGCACCGGCUAACUACGUGCCAGCAGCCGCCGUAACAC
rnacentral:rRNA from 1 species